rnacentral:rRNA from 1 species
UACGAAGGGGGCUAGCGUUGUUCGGAAUUACUGGGCGUAAAGGGCGCGUAGGCGGCCUAACAAGUCUCGUGUGAAAUCCCUCGGCUUAACUGAGGAACUGCACGGGAAACUGCUUGGCUUGAGUUCGGGAGAGGGAAGCGGAAUUCCGGGUGUAGCGGUGAAAUGCGCAGAUAUCCGGAGGAACACCAGUGGCGAAGGCGGCUUCCUGGACCGACACUGACGCUGAGGCACGAAAGCGUGGGUAGCAAACACG